UCCAGUGUGGCAUAGUGGUUUGAGUGUUGGACUAUGACUCUGGAGACCAGAGUUCAAUUCCUUGCUUGGCCA
rnacentral:tRNA from 1 species